rnacentral:rRNA from 1 species
UAAGCGACUAAGCGUACACGGUGGAUGCCCUGGCAGUCAGAGGCGAUGAAGGACGUGCUAAUCUGCGAAAAGCGCCGGCGAGGUGAUAUGAACCUUUGACCCGGCGAUGUCCGAAUGGGGAAACCCAGUGUGAUUCGUCACACUAUCGUUAACUGAAUACAUAGGUUAACGAGGCGAACCGGGGGAACUGAAACAUCUAAGUACCCCGAGGAAAAGAAAUCAACCGAGAUUCCCCCAGUAGCGGCGAGCGAACGGGGAGCAGCCCGGAGUCUGAAUCAGCUUGUGUGUUAGUGGAACGGUCUGGAAAGUCCGACGGUACAGGGUGAUAGUCCCGUACACGAAAAUGCACAGGUUGUGAACUCGAAGAGUAGGGCGGGACACGUGGUAUCCUGUCUGAAUAUGGGGGGACCAUCCUCCAAGGCUAAAUACUCCUGACUGACCGAUAGUGAACCAGUACCGUGAGGGAAAGGCGAAAAGAACCCCGGCGAGGGGAGUGAAAAAGAACCUGAAACCGUGUACGUACAAGCAGUGGGAGCCUACUUGUUAGGUGACUGCGUACCUUUUGUAUAAUGGGUCAGCGACUUAUAUUCUGUAGCAAGGUUAACCGUAUAGGGGAGCCGAAGGGAAACCGAGUCUUAACUGGGCGUUAAGUUGCAGGGUAUAGACCCGAAACCCGGUGAUCUAGCCAUGGGCAGGUUGAAGGUUGGGUAACACUAACUGGAGGACCGAACCGACUAAUGUUGAAAAAUUAGCGGAUGACCUGUGGCUGGGGGUGAAAGGCCAAUCAAACCGGGAGAUAGCUGGUUCUCCCCGAAAGCUAUUUAGGUAGCGCCUCGUGAACUCAUCUUCGGGGGUAGAGCACUGUUUCGGCUAGGGGGCCAUCCCGGCUUACCAACCCGAUGCAAACUACGAAUACCGAAGAAUGUUAUCACGGGAGACACACGGCGGGUGCUAACGUCCGUCGUGAAGAGGGAAACAACCCAGACCGCCAGCUAAGGUCCCAAAGUCAUGGUUAAGUGGGAAACGAUGUGGGAAGGCACAGACAGCCAGGAUGUUGGCUUAGAAGCAGCCAUCAUUUAAAGAAAGCGUAAUAGCUCACUGGUCGAGUCGGCCUGCGCGGAAGAUGUAACGGGGCUAAACCAUGCACCGAAGCUGCGGCAGCGACGCUUAUGCGUUGUUGGGUAGGGGAGCGUUCUGUAAGCCGUUGAAGGUGGCCUGUGAGGGUUGCUGGAGGUAUCAGAAGUGCGAAUGCUGACAUAAGUAACGAUAAAGCGGGUGAAAAGCCCGCUCGCCGGAAGACCAAGGGUUCCUGUCCAACGUUAAUCGGGGCAGGGUGAGUCGACCCCUAAGGCGAGGCCGAAAGGCGUAGUCGAUGGGAAACAGGUUAAUAUUCCUGUACUUGGUGUUACUGCGAAGGGGGGACGGAGAAGGCUAUGUUAGCCGGGCGACGGUUGUCCCGGUUUAAGCAUGUAGGCGGAGGUUCCAGGUAAAUCCGGUACCUUUUUAACGCUGAGGUGUGAUGACGAGGCACUACGGUGCUGAAGUAACAAAUGCCCUGCUUCCAGGAAAAGCCUCUAAGCAUCAGGUAACACGAAAUCGUACCCCAAACCGACACAGGUGGUCAGGUAGAGAAUACCAAGGCGCUUGAGAGAACUCGGGUGAAGGAACUAGGCAAAAUGGUGCCGUAACUUCGGGAGAAGGCACGCUGAUAUGUAGGUGAAGCCCCUGCGGGUGGAGCUGAAAUCAGUCGAAGAUACCAGCUGGCUGCAACUGUUUAUUAAAAACACAGCACUGUGCAAACACGAAAGUGGACGUAUACGGUGUGACGCCUGCCCGGUGCCGGAAGGUUAAUUGAUGGGGUUAGCGGUAACGCGAAGCUCUUGAUCGAAGCCCCGGUAAACGGCGGCCGUAACUAUAACGGUCCUAAGGUAGCGAAAUUCCUUGUCGGGUAAGUUCCGACCUGCACGAAUGGCGUAAUGAUGGCCAGGCUGUCUCCACCCGAGACUCAGUGAAAUUGAACUCGCUGUGAAGAUGCAGUGUACCCGCGGCAAGACGGAAAGACCCCGUGAACCUUUACUAUAGCUUGACACUGAACACUGGUCCUUGAUGUGUAGGAUAGGUGGGAGGCUUUGAAGCGUGGACGCCAGUCUGCGUGGAGCCAACCUUGAAAUACCACCCUUUAAUGGCUGGUGUUCUAACGUAGACCCGUGAUCCGGGUUGCGGACAGUGUCUGGUGGGUAGUUUGACUGGGGCGGUCUCCUCCCAAAGAGUAACGGAGGAGCACGAAGGUUAGCUAAUCCUGGUCGGACAUCAGGAGGUUAGUGCAAUGGCAUAAGCUAGCUUGACUGCGAGAGUGACGGCUCGAGCAGGUGCGAAAGCAGGUCAUAGUGAUCCGGUGGUUCUGAAUGGAAGGGCCAUCGCUCAACGGAUAAAAGGUACUCCGGGGAUAACAGGCUGAUACCGCCCAAGAGUUCAUAUCGACGGCGGUGUUUGGCACCUCGAUGUCGGCUCAUCACAUCCUGGGGCUGAAGUAGGUCCCAAGGGUAUGGCUGUUCGCCAUUUAAAGUGGUACGCGAGCUGGGUUUAGAACGUCGUGAGACAGUUCGGUCCCUAUCUGCCGUGGGCGCUGGAGAAUUGAGGGGGGCUGCUCCUAGUACGAGAGGACCGGAGUGGACGCAUCACUGGUGUUCGGGUUGUCAUGCCAAUGGCACUGCCCGGUAGCUAAAUGCGGAAGAGAUAAGUGCUGAAAGCAUCUAAGCACGAAACUUGCCCCGAGAUGAGUUCUCCCUGAGACUAUAAGUCUCCUGAAGGAACGUUGAAGACGACGACGUUGAUAGGUCGGGUGUGUAAGCGCAGCGAUGCGUUGAGCUAACCGAUACUAAUGAACCGUGAGGCUUAACCU